rnacentral:rRNA from 1 species
UGAGGAAUAUUGGGCAAUGCCCGCAAGGGUGACCCAGCAAUGCCGCGUGGAGGAUGAAUGUCGUAAGAUUGUAAACUCCUGUUAGAGGGGAAGAAUAGUACCGGUUGGACCGGUAUAUGACUGUACCCUCAGAGAAAGCCCCGGCUAACUACGUGCCAGCAGCCGCGGUAAUACGUAGGGGGCAAGCGUUGUCCGGAUUUACUGGGUGUAAAGGGCGCGCAGGCGGGAUAAAAAGUCAGUGGUGAAAUCCUACAGCUUAACUGUAGAACUGCCUUUGAUACUUUUAUUCUUGAGUUCGGGAGAGAGAGACGGAAUUCCAGGUGUAGUGGUGAAAUACGUAGAUAUCUGGAAGAACACCAGUUGCGAAGGCGGUCUCUUGGUCCGACACUGACGCUGAGGCGCGAAAGCGUGGGGAGCAAACA